rnacentral:lncRNA from 1 species
UUACAAACUAAAGGUCAACACCAAUCAUAUGGUAUUUGAAAACUAAGAACAAAUAAAAUAGAAAAACAGUGACAUUCAGUUAUAUGGAAAUAUAGUCAAGUCAAUAAUUUGAAGUGGAUUAUUAACAAUAACACAGUUUUCUUUACCUUCCUGAUGUUCCAACCCUUUAUAAGAAGUCAAAAUUGACUAUGAACUAUCAUUAAGAACAUACUAAAGAAGAAGUACUGGCUUUUAAUGUUUAACAUUUUCUAGCAUAUUUGUUUGUUUUCAAGUUAACGCUGCAUAUUUAAAGAUUAUAAUGGGAAGCCAGAACAUAAUUCUUUUUCGAACUGCUAAAUAAUAAGUAUCUUUUUUUCCCUUGUUGAAACUCAAUUUCUAGCCAAUGAUUGAGUCUAUUUUUCACUGAUCUCAGCAACCUUAAGUAGAAAAUCUAGUGUGACCUAAAAGCUCUAAAACUUAUCAAAGGUGGAGCCCAUGGAAAUAAAAGAAAAAUAUAUUCGCAAAAUGCAUUUCAAAAAAGAACACUUUUUUUUUUUGCUGGGUGCAGUGGCUCACACCUGUAAUCCCAGCACUUUGGGAGGCCGAGGUGGGCGGAUCACCUGAAGUCAGGAGUUCGAAACUAGCCUGGCCAACAUCAUGAAACCCUGUCUGUACUAAAAAUACAAAAAUUAGCCGGGUGUGGUGGCAGGCUUCUGUAAUCCCAGCUACUUGGGAGGCUGAGGCAGGAGAAUCGCUUGAACCCAGGAGGCGGAGGUUGCAGUGAGCCAAGAUCAUGUCAUUGCACUCUAGUCUGGGUGACAAGAGCAAAACCCUGUCUCAAAAAAAAAACAAAAACAAAAACAAAACAAAACAGAACAAAACGUAUUUAACCCCGUAAUGAAAAUAAUGGAAAUUCUCAGCUAAUUGGCACUUUAUGAACACUAGGAAAAAUUCACUUACGUUAUUUUAAAACCUAUACACUUAGUGAUAAAAAGGAUGUACGAGUUAAUUGAGAGAGUCUAGUGUUGUACAGAGGGAAAAAGACUGGUGGAAAGCACAUCAGAAGAAUAAGGAUAGAACUUUUAAAGAUAUAAAGAUUUUUUAUGUAUAAAACCCAUUAAAAAUGGUAAGAAAUAACAGCCAUUUCUAAAAUGCCCUUUAACCAGUUAACAAUCUGUUUGCACAGCCUUGUAGCUUAUGUAAAUAUGCAUGCUCACUUUCCUGCUUGGAUGUGUCAGAAGUUAGGGAGGGAUAGGAGCCCUGGGUAGAACCAUAUGGAUUCAAAAACACAGGGAGGGGCUCCAUUUUAAUAUUAUGGCUCAGAAAUAGUCCUAGGAAGCUGGGACCAGCUGUGCAAAACUGGUCAUAGAACAGCAGUUGCCCCUAAAUGAUUUGAAUUCUUUAGUACUACAGUUCUAAUUACUCCUGAAACUAGUAUGGAAUUUGGGAGUGGUGAUUUUGUCAUUCUUCAAAUUGCUUUUCCUAUUCUUUGAUAGCAUGCAGAAUUGACAACAGUUUUCUUCUAGAGAACCCAAUCUUGCAAACAUUAAAUAAAGACAGUAAUUAUUCUGCAUUCACAAUUAGUGACUUUGAGGCCUUAGAAAGAGCACCUCAUGACAAAGAUACUCGGUGAAUGUCGUCAACUGACUUCCUGCGUGGCUGUCGGACUGAUUUUUUCAAAUUCUAAGAAAGAGAAUGAGAGAUUCAGAUGAUUCACCUCCCCAAAAGAUGUCCCCAGGGCUUUUUCCACCUCUCCAUCUUGAUUUGAGAUCUUCAAAAUCACUUCACCUUCAGAUUAUUAUCCCAUUUCUCUCACUGGCACUAGCUCCAACUCUCUCAGGCAAGAAAGUUUGCUCAUGUGUCAUGAUUAUUUGGUUGGGUCACUUAUUUAGUGGCCAUUUUCCAUUUACUUCAAGUAUCAGAAGCAAAACCAAGUCACAUGGCUCUUCGAGGGAGUACAUUUUGUGUUUGUUCCCUCUCUUAAAUCCCCAUUUCACCAUCAGCAUAGUUCCCACUUAUUGGUACAGUGUGGCCACAGGAUUUAGGUGAGCACCAUUCAACAACAGUUGCACAGGUACCAUUCAGGCCAAGAACAAUGGCUCUGAGACAGCUCUGCUGAUUAUUGGCUGGGCUUCCUUAAGCAAAUGACUAAAUCUCUGUGCUUUUGUUUCCUCAUUUGUAAAAUGAGAAUAAGAAUAAUACCUACCUCACAGCAUUUUUAGAAAGAUUAAAUGGUUUAAUUGUUAUGCCUUCCUUUUAGGGAUGUUGUGAAGAUAAUGAGAUGGUGUGUGUAAAAUAUUUAGUACAGUUUGAAGGAACUCAAUAAAUAGUAGGUAUCCAUAUCAUGAUUAUGAGGUAAAGAGAAAACAUCGCCAUUGUUGAGAGUAGGAUUCAAGGGUGAGUGCAGCUGCUCCAACAGCACCCAUGGCUCUGGUUUUAUUUUCAGCCCUGAAUCUUUUUUUCUUUUUUAAUUAUUAUUUUUUUAAAAACAGAGAGAAAGAGAGACAGGGUCUCACCAUGUUGCCCAGGUUGGUCUUGAGAUCCUGGACUCAAGCGAUCCUCCCACUUCCGCCUCCCAAAGUGCUAGGAUUACAGGUAUGAGCCACCAUGCCUGGCCCCAGCCCUGAAUCUUGUCUACUUCCUUUGCUUGCUUACUUCGUGCUGCCAUUGCAGGCUCCCCAUCCAAAAAUGUAGCCCUCUUUAGGCCAGCAACUCCAGAGACUGUUGAAUUCAGGCACAGUUUGUAUGAGCUAUAGCGCCUCAUCCCUGUAUUAGAGUAAAUACGCACAAAAACACAAGGUACUUUUCUGUCCUCUUAAAAUUAAUAAUGGCUUCAUUUGUAAGACAUUUGAAGUUAUAAACGUUCUGGAAUAAAGUUGUCAGAAAAUC